rnacentral:rRNA from 1 species
CAGUCGCCGCGGUAAUACGAAGGGGGCUAGCGUUGUUCGGAUUUAUUGGGCGUAAAGGGUGCGUAGGCGGUUUGGCAAGUCUUGUGUGAAAUCUUCGGGCUCAACCCGAAGCCUGCACGAGAAACUACCGGGCUUGAGUAAUGGAGAGGUGAGUGGAAUUUCCGGUGUAGCGAUGAAAUGCGUAGAUAUCGGAAGGAACACCUGUGGCGAAAGCGGCUCACUGGACCAUUUCUGACGCUGAUGCACGAAAGCUAGGGGAGCAAACAGGAUUAGAUACCCGCGUAGUCCCUGUCUCUUAUAC